rnacentral:rRNA from 1 species
AGUGAACGCUGGCGGUAGGCCUAACACAUGCAAGUCGAACGGCAGCACAGGAGAGCUUGCUCUCUGGGUGGCGAGUGGCGGACGGGUGAGGAAUACAUCGGAAUCUACUCUGUCGUGGGGGAUAACGUAGGGAAACUUACGCUAAUACCGCAUACGACCUACGGGUGAAAGCAGGGGAUCUUCGGACCUUGCGCGAUUGAAUGAGCCGAUGUCGGAUUAGCUAGUUGGCGGGGUAAAGGCCAACCAAGGCGACGAUCCGUAGCUGGCCUGAGAGGAGCAUCAGCCACACUGGAACUGGGACACGGUCCAGACUCCUACGGGAGUCAGCAGUGGGGAAUAUUGGACAAUGGGCGCAAGCCUGAUCCAGCCAUACCGCGUGGGUGAAGAAGGCCUUCGGGUUGUAAAGCCCUUUUGUUGGGAAAGAAAUCCAGCUGGCUAAUACCCGGUUGGGAUGACGGUACCCAAAGAAUAAGCACCGGCUAACUUCGUGCCAGCCGCCACCGUAA